CUUCACCUUCCUGGGCCGGUUCCCUAAGUUCUGAUGGGCGCUAAGCAUAGGCUUGAUGUUCUCCAGGUCAACAUUACCUCUGAGGGAGGAGCCUCAGGCCUGCCCACAUCCUUUCUUCCCUCCCUCUUCCCUGGUAACGAUCCAUGUCUAUGUCUGGAAGUAUUUUAAGCCUUAUGUCCAUUCGACUCAAAGGCCCCUCUAUCGAGCCACACAUUUCCCAGCAUGCCCUUCUACCAGAGUAGUGAACCAACAGUCCCUGACAAUUGUGACAUCAUUUAGUAGAUUCUCCUAGCCACGUGAGGAUGGUCUGCUGACUCCUGCAGAUAUGUGCUUCUCUGGAUGGCCAUGGCAUCUGCUGGCCAAAUCUCCGCCAGGUGACUAGGUUCAGGGUAGCUGAAUUUCCUGGAAGAAUCAGGCAGAGUCAUCUGUAUGGAAGAGGAGACUGGAUUCGUACCUAUGGCACUCCGCUCGAAGGUUAUGGAAACUUCAGCCUGGCCCCUCUUCCUCACCCCUCUCUUCUGGACUGCAGAGACCAGCCUCAAGCUCCCACCGCCAUAUCCUCUGCCAUGCUGGACCACAGCCCUACUUAAACUUUGAGCCAAAGUAAAGUCUUCCUUCCUUGAGUUGCCUUUGUUGGGUAUUUUGUCACAGCCAUAAGGAAACUGAAUAAUAUGGUGUGUCAAGUUAUAGCACUGUCCUUCAAAUGUGUCAUACUUGGGCGUUUGGCUGUUGCCAGCCAAUCUGUGGAUUGCAUUCUGGACACUGGAAAUGAUUUGAAAGUGAGAAGUGGGGGCAGGUAGUUGUGUGUAAGCAUCCUUUCAUCAGAAUAUCCUACAUUCCUACAAGCAUACCUAACCUUCAUGGACUGCAUGCAACUGCAUGUCCAACAUGAAACCGUUAGCCUGAUUAAAAGAUUGUAAGACAUUUGCAGAAAGGGUUGGGGCGUGUGUGUGUGUGUGUGUGUGUGUGUGUGUGUGUGUGUGUGUGUGUGUGUGUGUGUGAGAUUCAUGCAUGUUUGCUUGUAUGUAAGCCAGGUAAUGUAGGUGAAUGUGUAUGGACAGACAUAUAUCCACACAUGUGCUCCUCUGUGGAGGUCAGAGGUUGAACCUGAGUGUCUUCCUUACUUUUUUGUCACAUUUUAUAGUAAGUUGUGGUCGCCCACUGGAACGUUGAGCUCAGUGUGGCUAGUCUAGCCAGUGUGUCUGUUCUGUCCCUUCAGAGAGCACUGGGAUUAUAGGCCAGUGCCACAUCUCACUAGCAUUUGCAUGAGUGCUCUUGACUGUGGAUAUGAUCUGUCCAGUUCCUGUCUUGGCUUCCGCAACAAUGGAUGAUAACCUGGAUGGAAGCCCAUACAUCCUUUUCUCCUCCUUGUUGCUUUUUCUCAGGGAAUUUGUCACAGAAAUAGAAAUGAGAUGAAGACACCUUCCCUGAGUCUAGGCGCACAGAAGUCCCAUCCAUAACCCUAAGUGUCUAAUAUUGUCAGGCACAUGACUUAGAGUCCUGGGACUCUGUUUUUCUAGAGCCAUGAGAAACUGUCUUAUGAGGGUAGAUGACACAAACACCCCAUGCAGAAUGCCAUGUGAGAGCUAGAAGAGUCACCCCCACAACCCUCAUCCAUGUUUAUAGAGUCCUUUCAAAUCCCUGUGACAUGCUGCUGAUAGCUUCUUCUCAGAGUCCUCCUUGGCAUCCAGGGUGGGGGUACACAGACCUAUGAAGGGGUUUCUGGAGGAGCAGGACACAUGGCUGCGUGGUUAAGGGUCUUCCUGCCCUUGCAGAGGACUGGAAUUCUGGUUCCAACACCCAAGUCGGUUGGAUCACAACUCCCUGUAACUUGACUUUCAGGGGAUCCCACGCCCUCCUCUGGCUUCCACAGGCACCCAUACACAUGCGUGCAUGCACACUCUUAAAUAUAAAUAAUAAAGAUAAACAUUUUUUUAAGUUUCUGGAAACAACAACACACGGCCAUGAUGACCAGCACUACUGAUGAUUCAAAAAAAAAAAAAUGAUGAGAGGAAGGUUCCUUCGGCAUGACUAGAGCCCUUGCCAGCAAAACGCGGAACACUGGUCAGGGAAGAAAUCGUAUUUGUUCGGUCAGUGCACUGGCUUUUUGCUAGGUGUAAGACGACAGCGGGAACGUGUAGCAGCCAAAGAACAAGGACUUGGAGUUGAUCCACAGCGCCUACUUCUAUACACAUCUUCUCCAGCACCCUUGAUGAGAUCCUCUUGCAAACGGCUGUCAGAGUGCGUGCUGCAGUCAAAAGACAAAUAUCUAGUCUCUUUGCCUCUCUAGAAAAUAGUAACUGAUGCUCCUGCAUGGCUGGAGAAGAGCCCCGGGCAGAUAUUUGAACAAUGGAGUGGACCUGCAGCAUGAAACUCUGGAGUUUUUUUUUUCACCAGGUGAAACACAAUCCCAGAGGGCUCUCAUCCUGUCAGUUAUCUCCCAGCAUUCCUCAUGAGGUCCCUUUCCUGACUUGCCUAGCUCUCUCCUCUCUGCUCAGGUUCCUCUGAACCACACACUGAGCUUUUUUUCCUCCCUUUGCCGCCGUGCUGGCUUCCCCUGUCAGCUUCCCCCUUCUCAUUGCCAACAUCCUUCUGACCUUGGGGCUCCUGCGCAAUCCUGCCGUCCUCAGACCUGGCUACUAGGCUAUAACAGGUAGAUUCCGCCUAUCAGGAGACAGGCCUGCUAAGGGGAGGCCACGGCAUGAUUGUAUUUUGUAGCUUCAGGCCAACGGAGCUUGUGACAUCCAUACCAAGGAAAGGGGUGGCUGGUGGCUGCGUCCUGUGUGUGAGUUGAUCUGGCAGGCAUCUCAGGGAGAAGGCAGCCCUAUGCCAAGCAUUGCUGGCAGAGCAGAUGUCUUAGAAAUUGGACCAUUCUCCUGCAGGAAUAGAAGGAAAGAAGAGUAAAGACUGCGGAGGUAUAAAUGUUCUGGGAGGGGAGACAAAGGAGAGCCUGGGAGAUGCUGGAAUAUACGCCCCAGAAUUAAAUGGUGCUCCAUCUCCCUACACUUGGCAAGAAGGGCAGAUGGGUUGUGGAGAAAAGUCUCAGGUGGCUGUCCCCCUAUGAAUCCCUUUCUGUGCAAAGGGGGUUCUCAACCCUUGUCAAUGUUGAAGAGGAGGAAAUUUCCUUUGGCUACGAAAAAGCUACAAGAUCAACCCCCACGCUAUUUAGGAGAGAGCAUAUUGAUUCAUGUAGACAGAUAUGCUCUUUAAAUUCUGCUAGAGCCUAGGAAGAGAGAUCCCGUGUCUAACUCUUGGUACUAUGGUACUCGCUGACUGUGGGGUUUCAAAUGAGUCUCAUGGGACACUUUGAGGACACAUAAUGACCCGGGGUGGUCCUUCAAAGUCUUGCAAUGUAGCUGCCCCCAAGCCACCACUAGGGGAAGAAUUGGAAGAAGAAAGUUGAGACACAGGAAGAGUAUGUGAGGACCCAGGAAGAGAGGCCAAGUUGAAGUUCCUCGGGCUAUGAGACCAUCAGAGUAAGAUGGGGGGACAAUAGGCCCUGGGAACCCUUGAACAUCAGAAGGGGCUCAGGAAGUAGUUGCAGGGCUUUGAACCUAUAGGUUCUUCAUGAACCUACCUUUGCAAAGUUCUUCCCAGUUACCGAGAACUUCUUCCGGUUGGAAUUGAACACAGGGCCAGCUGGGCAAUACUUGGUCUAUCUGGAAACUCACUUUAGGAUGGAGAUGGAGAGCAUGUACAAGUCCUUUGUGGAGGGGGGUCAGUGCAGCCGUCUCAGAGUUAAGUAGCAAGUGGGGCGCUUCUCAGGGAUCCCGUCUUCCUCCAGCCACGGCAUGGGUUUUCACAGAAGCAGAGAACUGGAUAUCUUCUCCAUUAUUGAAUUCCCAGCACCUUCACCUGAUGUAUCGUGGGCAAUCAGUAAAUUGGGUUGAAUACCCAUAUCGGUAACUAUUAAUGGCCUUGGCUUACAUGUUAAUUCCUUAGGGAGCUUAUCAAAUCUUGUCAGACCUAUGAUGUCUCUUGUGCCUCAGCCACCAUAUAUAAAUGCAUAUGCAUGCAUGUAUAUGUACACAAGGUUAGAUAUUUAUGUGUCAAACCUUAUGUCUAUAUAUUACAUACAUAUUUAAUUUGAGGAAAAUGUGUAAGAGUGCAAAUGUAAUUGUGUGUGUGUGUUAAGCCAUCUCUUUCUGUUUAUCACCACCAGCAUCAGAGCAAACAGUAUCUCCACGGUAGAUUUAUGGAAAUUAGGCUUAGAAAUACGUGGUCCGUAUCUGCCCACAUUCAUGUAUAUUUCU